UCCUUGUGUCUGGUGUUGAGUGUUCUGCUUUGCUUCAUGCCUAGAUCCUUGUUCAGGGUUUUGGAUUACCUGUCUUUUGGAUUUACUUUGGAUUGGACUUUGCCUUGAGCUCUAUGGAAGCCUGUGCAGAGAGCAAGGAGGGCAGUUUUCGGGGGAUGAUCGAUUUUCAGCAUGACACCUGUCGCUACCUCCAGAGCAUGUUCUGAUUCAGAAGACGAGAAGCUGUUCACAGACGGGUCAAUGAAAGAGAGGAGCGAGUAAUGGACACCUUGCUAACCUACAUUGACAACAAAGAAAGUCGUGUGCGCUGAUGUUCCACAUGCCUAUAGGCAUAGUUGUAGGGAACACUCUCAGAAUGUUGCGGUUUGUUGGAAAACAGCGCACAUUCGUCCGACUUUCUACAACUCCAUCCAACCCGAUUAGACAUGUCAAACUCUAAAGACUCCAUCAAACUGACACUGACUGACGGCGCACACUGAUCCAACAGUCGGUGCUGGUUGGAGUCGGUCUGCAUUUGUCAGGGCAUGUGUGCAAGCAGCUUUAGAUGUAUUAUAUAGAUAGAUGUUGAAAUUACCUUAUGUUGAUUUACAAUUUCUGGUCAUGCUAGACACUGUUCUGAGAAUUACAUUCAUAGACAACUACUCAGCCUUAUUAUGUUAAGUGGCAAUGUUCAUUGUCAGUGUAUGUGUCUUUCAUACUCGAUGAAAAGUAAGGGCAUGUCAGUGCAGUGAGGUCAGGUCAACGAAUGGAUUUUAUAAAAUAUUUCACACUUCACCUCAGUAUCAAUUUUCUACAAAAGUUUGCAUUAUCAUUGAGUUAUGCAAUUGCUAAUAAAACCAAUACAGAAUUGAAA